AUUGAACGCUGGCGGCAUGCUUUACACAUGCAAGUCGAACGGCAGCGCGGACUUCGGUCUGGCGGCGAGUGGCGAACGGGUGAGUAAUAUAUCGGAACGUACCCAAGAGUGGGGAUAACGUAGCGAAAGUUACGCUAAUACCGCAUACGAUCUAAGGAUGAAAGCAGGGGAUCGCAAGACCUUGUGCUCCUGGAGCGGCCGAUAUCUGAUUAGCUAGUUGGUGAGGUAAAGGCUCACCAAGGCAACGAUCAGUAGCUGGUCUGAGAGGACGACCAGCCACACUGGAACUGAGACACGGUCCAGACUCCUACGGGAGGCAGCAGUGGGGAAUUUUGGGACAAUGGGGGGCAACCCUGAUCCAGCAAUGCCGCGUGAGUGAAGAAGGCCUCGGUUGUAAG
rnacentral:rRNA from 1 species